rnacentral:rRNA from 1 species
CGCGUAGGCGGCUUAUCAAGUCAGGGGUGAAAUCCCGGGGCUCAACCCCGGAACUGCCCUUGAAACUGGUUGGCUAGAAUCCUGGAGAGGCGAGUGGAAUUCCGAGUGUAGAGGUGAAAUUCGUAGAUAUUCGGAAGAACACCAGUGGCGAAGGCGACUCGCUGGACAGGUAUUGACGCUGAGGUGCGAAAGCGUGGGGAGCAAACA